rnacentral:pre_miRNA from 1 species
AUUGCCUGGGGAUCUGGUCAGAGGCAGAUUCUGGGUUCAGUGCAUCUGGGGUGGGGCUCGAGAUUCUGCAUUUCUGACAAGCUCUCAGUGAUG